CCUACGGGUGGCAGCAGUAGGGAAUAUUGCUCAAUGGGGGAAACCCUGAAGCAGCAACGCCGCGUGGAGGAUGAAGGUUUUCGGAUUGUAAACUCCUUUUGUUAGAGAAGAUAAUGACGGUAUCUAACGAAUAAGCACCGGCUAACUCCGUACCAGCAGCCGCGGUAAUACGGAGGGUGCAAGCGUUACUCGGAAUCACUGGGCGUAAAGAGCGCGUAGGCGGGAUAGCAAGUCAGAUGUGAAAUCCUAGGGCUUAACCAUAGAACUGCAUUUGAAACUGUUAUUCUAGAGUAUGGGAGAGGUAGGUAGAAUUCUUGGUGUAGGGGUAAAAUCCGUAGAGAUCAAGAGGAAUACUCAUUGCGAAGGCGACCUGCUAGAACAUAACUGACGCUGAUGCGCGAAAGCGUGGGGAGCAAACAGGAUUAGAUACCCCAGUAGUC
rnacentral:rRNA from 1 species